rnacentral:rRNA from 1 species
AUUAAACGCUGGCGGCAUGCCUUACACAUGCAAGUCGAACGGCAGCACGGGGGCAACCCUGGUGGCGAGUGGCGGACGGGUGAGUAAAGCAUCGGAACGUAUCCUGGAGUGGGGGAUAACGUAGCGAAAGUUACGCUAAUACCGCAUAUUCUGUGAGCAGGAAAGCAGGGGAUCGCAAGACCUUGCGCUCUGGGAGCGGCCGAUGUCGGAUUAGCUAGUUGGUGGGGUAAAGGCCUACCAAGGCGACGAUCCGUAGCGGGUCUGAGAGGAUGAUCCGCCACACUGGGACUGAGACACGGCCCAGACUCCUACGGGAGGCAGCAGUGGGGAAUUUUGGACAAUGGGCGGAAGCCUGAUCCAGCCAUGCCGCGUGUGUGAAGAAGGCCUCGGUUGUAAGCUCUUUCGGUCGGGGAAGGAAAGUUAGCACGGGUUAAGUACCCUCGUGUAGAUGACGGUA